rnacentral:rRNA from 1 species
CAGAACGGCGUGAGCCAGUUUGGUCUAUAUCUGUUGAAGGUGUUCCUGCCUGAGAGCAAGGAAGAAUAAGUACGAAAGGAACAUUUUUCCGGAGCCUCUGGUCUACCAGUUGUCUGGCAAGGCAAUGCUGGGUAGCUACGCUCCAGCGGAUAAGGGCUGAAAGCAUCUAAGCCCCAAGCCGCACUCAAAAAUAGGCAGAUGGCAUCGGUAAACGACCGGUUUGAUAGGGCAGGGGUGUAAGAUUCGAGCAGCAAUGCG